rnacentral:lncRNA from 1 species
UCUAAAGUAACCCGACCGCGAUAGGAAGGGAGGGAAUCUGAUCCCCUCGAACCCUGGCCCGUACUAGGACCACCCUGGUGAUGCUGGCCUCCCUCAAAAGCAGGUAAUGCCGCCUGAACAGGCCGACUGGACUGACCCUGCUGAAACCUCUGAUGGGGCCUAACAUAAGAGUCUCUCCCUCUAGUCUGUGACCCGCUGUAGCUGCCCUGGUAGCGUGCCCUCUUAUCGCUGCCCCCUUGGGCCUCGCGAUGAAUAUGCACCAUGGAUCGGGCAUGGUCGACCACAUCAAGAAAUGAACG